CGCGGGGUAGAGCAGUCUGGUCAGCUCGUCGGGCUCAUAACCCGAAGGUCGUUGGUUCGAAUCCAACCCCCGCUACCA
rnacentral:tRNA from 1 species